UACUUGUCUUAUCAAAUAAAAUGUUUCAAAUGUAUAUUAGGUUGCUUGUAUUUUUAUUAAAACCACAUUAGGCAAAAGUUCCUUGUAUAGGUAGGCUGCUGAUUUUUGUUCACUGUAUUCAGCUUCAAAUAAAUAUUUUGCAAAAUGUGAUAGACUAAAUACAUUUGACAUUUUAUAAACCUUAAUGAAAUCAAAAUGUUAGGAAUCAGAAUGAAGAAGUAGAAUUGGAAAUGGAAUAGCUAUUCACUAUCCAACCGUACAACAUUAUCGUUUAUAUUUUUAUAACACAACUGAUAAUCUUCAAAAGCCCUGGUUUCCUUUGUUGUUCUUCUUGUAAUAUGAUAUUACCAGUUAUGUGAAAAUAACGAAAAGAGCGUUUCACAAAAGCAUAAAGGACUUAUAUUGAGAUUCUCGAAAGUUCACACAUACAUGCUUUUUUCAAAUGCAUUUUAAAGCUAUACCUUUGAGUGUUGUGCAUUUACAGAUUGAGCCAAAAAACGUCCAGAAGAAAAUGGGGGGAGGAAGUUCCAGUCAGAGAGAAAUUGAACUGCAAAGAAGAGCAAAGGAACUGGAUGAAAGAGCGAGGGAACUGGAUAGAAGAGCGAUGGAAGGGAAGACAAAAGCUCCUAAGUGUUGUGGUUGCUGCUUCAUUCAAAUAUCAUCACAGAAGACAGAUCAAUCAACUACCAUGAUCAAUUCACAAGUUAGUAAUGAUAAAAAUUCACAUGUUGAAGGUAGGUUAAGUUUGAGUCUCAGGCCAAGCAUUAUGUAACUCAUCAGACCCUCACACUCACCAGACUACUGAUCACAGACUACAUUUCCCAUCAUCUAUUUUGUAUCAAUAUAGUACUAUCUUACUUAAUAUAUUAUGCAUGACUAUGAAAGUAAUUAAUAUACUGAUCAAUAUGCUGAAUUAUCCCCAAAUACUGAUUGGAUGUAUAAAGGCCCUCCCAUUGGGCAGCACUGCUAGUUUUCCAUUGAACUGCACCUGUUAACUGAAGCAUUCCUAUGAACUUUGGAUGAUUUCCAGAAGUUGACAGAUUUAAUGAAUGUCUCCUGGGAUCACCGCCAACCAAUACUAGGCAGAAAGUUUUCUUAAAAAUGGUUGAUAAGGCCAAGUUUCAUCAUUAAAAAAUACCAGAUGGGCAAGUAAUAAAUUGUAGAAAACCAGAUAAGGAUAGCCUAUAAGCAAUAAAAAAUAAACCGGAACUACCAAUUAUGAUAAGAAAGAAGGGUAUAAUUUAGUGUGUAGUGCCUAAGAGGGGCCUA